rnacentral:rRNA from 1 species
UACGGAGGGGGCUAGCGUUGUUCGGAAUUACUGGGCGUAAAGCGCACGUAGGCGGCUUUGUAAGUUAGAGGUGAAAGCCCGGGGCUCAACUCCGGAAUUGCCUUUAAGACUGCAUCGCUAGAAUUGUGGAGAGGUGAGUGGAAUUCCGAGUGUAGAGGUGAAAUUCGUAGAUAUUCGGAAGAACACCAGUGGCGAAGGCGGCGACCUGGACGGACAUUGACGCUGAGACGCGAAAGCGUGGGGAGCGAACAGG